rnacentral:rRNA from 1 species
UACGUAGGGGGCGAGCGUUGUCCGGAUUUAUUGGGCGUAAAGAGCUCGUAGGCGGCUUGGCAAGUCGGGUGUGAAACCUCCAGCUCAACCUGGAGACGCCACUCGAUACUGCCAUGGCUAGAGUCCGGUAGGGGACCACGGAAUUCCUGGUGUAGCGGUGAAAUGACGCAGAUAUCAGGAGGAACACCGGUGGCGAAGGCGGUGGUCUGGGCCGGCACUGACGCUGAGGAGCGAAAGCGUGGGGAGCAAACAGG